UAUUUUGAAUAUACAGGGCAAUAGAUGACAAGUAUAGCAGAAGAGAAGAGUACAGAGGAUUUACACAGGACUUCAAGGAAAAAGAAGGCUACAGACCAGAUGUCAAGAUUGAGUACGUCGAUGAAACUGGACGGAAGCUUUGUCCAAAGGAGGCUUUUAGACAACUGUCUCACCGGUUCCAUGGCAAGGGCUCUGGUAAAAUGAAAACAGAAAAGCGUAUGAAGAAACUGGACGAGGAAGCUCUGCUGAAAAAGAUGAGUUCUAGUGACACCCCUCUUGGUACCGUUGCACUGCUUCAGGAGAAGCAGAAGGCCCAGAAGACACCUUACAUUGUUCUCAGUGGGAGUGGGAAGAGCAUGACAGCGAACACACUUAUCAAAUAAGUGGAAAGAAAAUCUAUAUCCAAAUUCCACUGAAGAAUAAAGACUUUGCAGGACCAGAUGAAUAUAUUUAUCUUUUGUGCACAACAAUUCCAUUAAUUUUUAUGUGCAAAAAGCCAAUCGCUGGAAUCUCAUUGGAUGGGUUGUGUGAAGUCAUUAAUGCCUACAUCUUACUGAGAUUGUUCGGGAAGAUGCUUGGCUCUGCAAUGUUGCCUGACUGCAUUCGUCACCGCAGAGAAAACGGAUCGGAAUUGUUUUUUUAAAUUAGGAUUUCUAUAAGAAUGGAGUGUGCUGGAAUCCAGACAUACUCCAAUUUCCUUAUUGAAUUUAAUUUGCAGGCUAUCGCUAAAACCUGUAAUAAAAAUGUUCUAAAAGACAGAUCUUUUAAAAAUUGUUUUAAAUUACUUAAUAAUCCAUAAAGCUGCAUUUUGCAAAAUACAUGAACAGUGAUGCCUUGUGCAGUUGAUACCACGAAGAUUCUAACUCUGAGAUGGACACAUUACUCACACCAAAUUAUGCUAAUGUUUUAUUUCCCACCGUAUACAAAUACAGUAUACGCACACAUACAAUUGAUAUGAAUAUGUAUAGUCUUCCUGUGUGUGAGUACUGAUGUCACUUGUCAUAUGACUCGCGUGAAAGUGUUGGUGAAUCAUUUAACUCAUGGUUAAAUACAACUCUGUAUGACCACUUGAACAAUGUUCAUAUUAAAACUUGUGCAAAAUUUGA